AUUGAACGCUGGCGGCAUGCUUUACACAUGCAAGUCGAGCGGUAACAGGCCUUCGGGCGCUGACGAGUGGCGAACGGGUGAGUAAUGCAUCGGAACGUGCCCAGUCGGGGGGGAUAACUAUCCGAAAGGAUAGCUAAUACCGCAUACGAUCUGCGGAUGAAAGCGGGGGACCUUCGGGCCUCGCGCGAUUGGAGCGGCCGAUGUCAGAUUAGGUAGUUGGUGGGGUAAAGGCUCACCAAGCCAACGAUCUGUAGCUGGUCUGAGAGGACGACCAGCCACACUGGGACUGAGACACGGCCCAGACUCCUACGGGAGGCAACAGUGGGGAAUUUUGGACAAUGGGCGCAAGCCUGAUCCAGCAAUGCCGCGUGCAGGAAGAAGGCCUUCGGGUUGUAAACUGCUUUUGUACGGAACGAAACGGCUCUGGUUAAUACCCGGGGCUAAUGACGGUACCGUAAGAAUAAGCACCGGCUAACUACGUGCCAGCAGCCGCGGUAAAAC
rnacentral:rRNA from 1 species